UACGUAGGGUGCGAGCGUUAAUCGGAAUUACUGGGCGUAAAGCGUGCGCAGGCGGUUCGUUAAGUCAGCUGUGAAAGCCCCGGGCUCAACCUGGGAACUGCGGUUGAAACUGGCGAACUAGAAUCUGGCAGAGGGGGGGUGGAAUUCCACGGUGUAGCAGUGAAAUGCGUAGAGAUGUGGAGGAACACCGAUGGCGAAGGCAGCCCCCUGGGCUGAGAUUGACGCUCAGGCACGAAAGCGUGGGGAGCAAACAGG
rnacentral:rRNA from 1 species